rnacentral:rRNA from 1 species
CCCUUAGAUGUUCCGGGCCGCACACGCGCUACACUGAAGGAGGCAGCGUGUACUCCUGGAUCGAAAGAUUUGGGUAACCCGCGAAUCUCCUUCGUGCUAGGGAUUGAGGUUUGCAAUUAUCCUUCAUGAACGAGGAAUUCCCAGUAAGUGCAAGUCAUAAGCUUGCGCUGACUACGUCCCUGCCCUUUGUACACACCGCCCGUCGCUACUACCGAUUGAAUGAUUUAGUGAGGACUUCGGACUGGGACCGAUGCGGCUUUCGGGCUGCGUCGGUAUUCUGGAAAGAUGUCCAAACUGUAUCAUUUAGAGGAAGUAAAAGUCGUAACA